GAUGAACGCUGGCGGCGUGCUUAACACAUGCAAGUCGAGCGAUGAAGUUUCCUUCGGGAAACGGAUUAGCGGCGGACGGGUGAGUAACACGUGGGUAACCUGCCUCAUAGAGUGGAAUAGCCUUCCGAAAGGAAGAUUAAUACCGCAUAAUGUUGAAAGAUGGCAUCAUUAUUCAACCAAAGGAGCAAUCCGCUAUGAGAUGGACCCGCGGCGCAUUAGCUAGUUGGUGGGGUAACGGCCUACCAAGGCGACGAUGCGUAGCCGACCUGAGAGGGUGAUCGGCCACAUUGGGACUGAGACACAGCCCAGACUCCUACGGGAGGCAGCAGUGGGGAAUAUUGCACAAUGGGGGAAACCCUGAUGCAGCAACGCCGCGUGAGUGAUGAAGGUUUUCGGAUCGUAAAGCUCUGUCUUUGGGGAAGAUAAUGACGGUACCCAAGGAGGAAGCCACGGCUAACUACGUGCCAGCAGCCGCGGUAAUACGUAGGUGGCGAGCGUUAUCCGGAUUUACUGGGCGUAAAGGGAGCGUAGGCGGAUGAUUAAGUGGGAUGUGAAAUACCCGGGCUCAACUUGGGUGCUGCAUUCCAAACUGGUUAUCUAGAGUGCAGGAGAGGAG
rnacentral:rRNA from 1 species